GGUAGUGGCGGACGGGUGAGUAUCGCGUAGGGAUUUAUCGUUGGGUGGUGGAUAACCGUGGGAAACUGCGGCUAAUACAGCAUGACGCCUGUGGGCCAAAGCCUGUGAGGGUGCCUGACGAGGAGCCUGCGUCCGAUUAGCUAGUUGGUUGGGUAAUGGCUGACCAAGGCUGUGAUCGGUAGCUGGUCUGAGAGGAUGAUCAGCCACACUGGGACUGAGACACGGCCCAGACUCCUACGGGAGGCAGCAGUGGGGAAUAUUGGACAAUGGGCGCAAGCCUGAUCCAGCAAUGCCGCGUGGAUGAAGAAGGUCUUCGGAUUGUAAAGUCCUUUCGGCGGGGACGAUGAUGACGGUACCCGCAGAAGAAGCCCCGGCUAACUUCGUGCCAGCAGCCGCGGUAAUACGAAGGGGGCUAGCGUUGCUCGGAAUGACUGGGCGUAAAGGGCGCGUAGGCGGAUUGAUUAGUCAGGCGUGAAAUUCCCGGGCUCAACCUGGGGGCUGCGUUUGAUACGGUUGGUCUAGAGUUUGGAAGAGGGUCGUGGAAUUCCCAGUGUAGAGGUGAAAUUCGUAGAUAUUGGGAAGAACACCGGUGGCGAAGGCGGCGACCUGGUCCUUGACUGACGCUGAGGCGCGAAAGCGUGGGGAGCAAAC
rnacentral:rRNA from 1 species